UACGUAGGGGGCAAGCGUUGUCCGGAUUUAUUGGGCGUAAAGGGCGCGUAGGCGGCCCGCUAAGUCGAACGUGAAAUCCCCAGGCUUAACCUGGGAACUGCGUCCGAUACUGGCAGGCUUGAAUCCGGGAGAGGGAUGUGGAAUUCCAGGUGUAGCGGUGAAAUGCGUAGAUAUCUGGAGGAACACCGGUGGCGAAGGCGGCGUCCUGGACCAACACUGACACUGAGGAGCGAAAGCCAGGGGAGCAAACGGG
rnacentral:rRNA from 1 species